rnacentral:rRNA from 1 species
GAUGAACGCUGGCGGCGUGCCUAAUACAUGCAAGUCGAGCGAACAGACGAGGAGCUUGCUCCUCUGACGUUAGCGGCGGACGGGUGAGUAACACGUGGAUAACCUACCUAUAAGACUGGGAUAACUUCGGGAAACCGGAGCUAAUACCGGAUAAUAUAUUGAACCGCAUGGUUCAAUAGUGAAAGACGGUUUUGCUGUCACUUAUAGAUGGAUCCGCGCCGCAUUAGCUAGUUGGUAAGGUAACGGCUUACCAAGGCGACGAUGCGUAGCCGACCUGAGAGGGUGAUCGGCCACACUGGAACUGAGACACGGUCCAGACUCCUACGGGAGGCAGCAGUAGGGAAUCUUCCGCAAUGGGCGAAAGCCUGACGGAGCAACGCCGCGUGAGUGAUGAAGGUCUUCGGAUCGUAAAACUCUGUUAAUAGGGAAGAACAAAUGUGUAAGUAACUAUGCACGUCUUGACGGUACCUAAUCAGAAAGCCACGGCUAACUACGUG